AUAAAAUUUGCCCUCUUAACCAUUUUUAAAUGUAUAGUUCAGUGGCAUUAAGGACAUUCACAUUGUUGUGCAGCCAUCAGCGGCAUCCAUCUCCAGAGCACUUUUCAUCUUGCAAAACUGAAGCUUUGUACUCAUUACACAACAACUCCCCAUUUGACCGCCUUCAUAUAAGUGGACUCAGUUGACCCUUGAACAACAUGGGUUUGAAUCAUGCAGUUCCACUUAUUUGGAGUUUCUUUCACCACUGCCACCCCUGAGACAGCAAGACCAACCCCUUCCUCCUGCCUCUCUCCCUCAGCCUGCUCAACAUGAAGAUGACAAGGAUGAUACUUCCAGCUAAUAAAAAGCAUGGAAAGGAAGCCCUUCAUGACAUUGCUUUGAAACUGAGGACAAGACGAGAUAGACGGACAGAAUGGUCAGAGCCGGGAGGAGGGGAGAGGAAACAACCAAGGACUUCCGCCACAGACAGCCAGCAGCCAUGACCUGGGGCCUGGCCCGGGGCGGGCCCUCCUGCCACAUGGAACACGGGGUCAGAGGAAUACAAAACCAUUGCAAAGGCUCCUAAGGCCUGGCAGCCGCCCCUAAAGCUGGACCUGGAAGGAAACAGAUAAGAUGAAGCAAGAGUGACACCGAUACAUAAGUGACAGCAGGAGUAAAAACACCCGUGCGUUAGGAGUCCAGAUGUGGCCCCGCAGGCCGUCAGCUUGGCCCGCCCCAUCCUGGCUCCUCCGAGCAGCCCUGCUUCCCACCCUGAGCCUGGUCCUGCCUCAGGUUGGGCUCAGCCACGUGGAUGGGAAACGACCUCUGUGGUCCACUCACUCGCUUCCGAGGAGGCCACAGGGCAAGAUGCUUGUGACGGGUCCCUUGCGCGCACCUGAGGCUGGUGGUGGGGCUGUCGAGGCGUCCAGCAAGCCAGCAGGCUGGCCGCAGAGAGGCCAGCUGCUGGGUGUGUGGGUGGGCAGAAAGAGCAGGGGGCAGGGAGCUGGGGGCACUGGGUGCCUGGGCUCUGCCACCCACAGGUGGGCAGCCUUGGUCUCCCGGGCCCUCGGCCUCCUCUUCUGCGAAACAAGAGGGUGGAACUAGAUGAGGUCUGAAUUCCCGUGGAGAUUUUGUGACAGAGGCUGGAAAAUGCCCUUCCCACGAGACUCUUCUCUACGUGGCAGUACCUGAAACUCCACCAUUAGAGCGACAUUCUCUGAGGUCAGGCACCGCCCUCCCAGGGCCUCAGCACAGGCAUGGCCAGGAGGAGAGGGGGAGAUGCGAUCCUGCUGCGGAGCCGGCGUCCAGGCUCCCUCCCAGCGUGGCCACAGUAGGCCCUCCCCACACAACGGCUCAUCCCACCAGGACCCCAAGGGGCCUCUUCCUCCAAGCCCUGGGCCAGCCCAGAAGGCAGAGGGGGCAAGGUGUGGGCUCCACAGAGGCCCCUCCAAACCCCCCAACACACAGUGACUUCUAAAGUGACUUCACACACCUAGCCUUCUGCUGUCAGGAUGGAUUUCCAUACCUCGGUGGCUUUGUUAAGUUUAAAAAUAAUUCACUAUGUGAGCACUUGAAAUCACAGAAAUCCUCAACACCCCCAGCCCCAGAGCCAUCUGGUCAAUCUCGUACUCCUGUCUUUGCUGCCUGGACCUUCAUUCCUAUAAGCCGUCGUCUGGCCUCUCCUCUGCAUGCCCUUUCUGCCCUGUGGAGCUCACACUGGGCCACAGCUUUCUCCUGAGGCCCCCAGUCACUGCUGCCUUCACCUCUGGCCAGCCCACUUGUCCACCCAGGAGUCCUCAGGUGGAGGAGCUCUAAGCCAGUGAAGGGCUGAGCCCAGGGGGACUUCAGGAUGUGUGAGCUCAUGCACACGCACAUAUAUGCACUGACCCUAAGAGCCGUGAAGUCCCCUGGUGGGGAGGGGUGCUGGGCAGAUGGACAGUCCAUGGCUGAGUGACAGGUGCGAUGGGACUCACAUGGCUGCCCUGAGGGGUGCUGUCUGUCUUGCCCACAGUCUGAGCCAGAGAGUGGGUCCUGGCCACCAGGCACAGGAGGAGGGGCACAGGUGCCGUGGAGCAUCGCAGGUGCUGUCUAGACUGAGGAGGACCCCUGGCCACAGAAGGCAUGGCUGUGGCUCUGUUCCUCCUAGCCCCUUGUGAGGGUCACCUGUGGGGUGGAGGGGGCCGCUGGGCAGAUGAUCUGCAGGGAAUGGCCACAGAGGCACAGGGGAAUGUGAUAGGGGCUCUGUCAGAAUCUGAGUUCAAGGAUGAGGUGAGGCCCCAGAGGGCGAGGCCUGUGCCUCUUACCAACACACACGGUUCUCAUCCACACAGGCCUUCGUGCAUGGCCUGCAGAGCUGUGAGGGGGUGGGGGCGCCUCUAUAUCCCUGGACACCAGACUGUCUUGGGACUGGACCCCAGUGCUCCUUAGGCCUCUUCUGUCUGAGCAGGGACCCCAGAGGGGACACCCCUGUGAUGGGUGACCCUGGUCACUGAUGAGGGGCUGCGUCCUCCUCAGGUGGCUGUUCUGUCCCUGCCCUGAGCCAUUUCUUGUCCUGUCCUACUGGGCCCCAUGGAGUGAAUGGCUUGG